rnacentral:rRNA from 1 species
AUUGAACGCUGGCGGAAUGCUUUACACAUGCAAGUCGAGCGGCAGCACGGGGGCAACCCUGGUGGCGAGCGGCGAACGGGUGAGUAAUACAUCGGAACAUGCCCAGUCGUGGGGGAUAACACUUCGAAAGAAGUGCUAAUACCGCAUACGUCCUGAGGGAGAAAGCGGGGGAUCGCAAGACCUCGCGCGAUUGGAGUGGCCGAUGUCAGAUUAGCUAGCUGGUGGGGUAAAGGCCUACCAAGGCAACGAUCUGUAGCUGGUCUGAGAGGAUGAUCAGCCACACUGGGACUGAGACACGGCCCAGACUCCUACGGGAGGCAGCAGUGGGGAAUUUUGGACAAUGGGGGCAACCCUGAUCCAGCCAUUCCGCGUGAGUGAAGAAGGCCUUCGGGUUGUAAAGCUCUUUCGGCCGGGAAGAAAUCGCACGGGCUAAUACCCUGUGUGGAUGACGGUACCGGAAUAAGAAGCACCGGCUAACUACGUGCCAGCAGCCGCCGUAAGAC